rnacentral:tRNA from 1 species
GGCUUAAGGUUGGUAGUAGCGCAUGACUGUUAAUCAUGAUGUCGUAGGUUCGAGUCCUAC